rnacentral:misc_RNA from 1 species
AACACCUCAAUCCCCUAAAUCUUGAAAAAGAAAGGGAAUUGGACUUGAGCUAUCCCAACAAACGUAAAACUUUGGCGGGUCGCUUGAAAUGCAGGUGCAGCUGGACUUUUAUCUGAGCUAAAAGCAUAUCUAUUUAGUCCUCGUCAAACAGGAUUAUUACUAUUGCUGCAGCUAACAUAAAGGAUAAUUGUCCUCAUUGCUGACUGAUGCAGGAUUUUACGACACUUUAUGUGUUGUUCA